UACGUAGGGUGCGAGCGUUAAUCGGAAUUACUGGGCGUAAAGCGUGCGCAGGCGGUUCGUUAUGUCCGAUGUGAAAGCCCCGAGCUUAACUUGGGAAUGGCAUUGGAAACUGGCGGGCUGGAGUGCGGCAGAGGGGGGUGGAAUUCCACGUGUAGCAGUGAAAUGCGUAGAGAUGUGGAGGAACACCGGAUGGCGAAGGCAGCCCCCUGGGCCGACACUGACGCUCAGGCACGGAAAGCGUGGGGAGCAAACAGG
rnacentral:rRNA from 1 species